rnacentral:rRNA from 1 species
GGGUCGGUAGGUUGGUGGUGCCACCGGUACGUACUGGUCUCACUGAUUCCUCCUUCCUGAAGAACCGUAAUGCCAUUAAUUUGGUGUUGCGGGGAAACAGGACUGUUACUUUGAAAAAAUUAGAGUGUUUAAAGCAAGCUAACGCUCGAAUACAUUAGCAUGGAAUAAUGAAAUAGGACGAUCGAUCCUAUUUUGUUGGUUUCUAGGAUUGACGUA